GGGCAUACUGGAUUAUUUGGAUAAUUUGAGUGUUGGUCAAAUUCGCAAGUUGUUUGUAAUGUUAAGUACUUUGCCAUUUCAUAACAAUGAUGGCAGUAUGAUACAGGUAUGAGGACAACAACUUAACCUAGGUAAGCUGGUGUUGUUGUAGGUUAGAAUCGUGUAAAAAUCUAUAGAAAAGAAUAUGCAGAACAAAGUUUAACAGUGUAUAAUUACUGUGUACAUGAAGUAACAGUUCUAUUUUCAUACGGGAGAGUUAUAAUAUCACAUUUUGACGUUGCUAACUGAAAUGCACGCCUUUAUAUUUUGGCCACAGCAAUGGCCUCGACAAUGACAAAUCAGUAUAUUAAUUAUAGAUAAC